GUAAACGGAAAAAUCCAUAAAAGCAGAGAGUUAAGACACUUUAACUCACGUGCAGUAAGGCUGGUUAUCACAGAGUGCAGCUCAAAUACAUACAUUUUUACCAUACUUGAAGAUAAACGUCAGAAUGAAUUCCAGGUUUUCCAUGCCAGAGCAAGUACUGAACUAAAAAUUCUGAAACAUAUUCUUGUCCA